rnacentral:rRNA from 1 species
AGUGAACGCUGGCGGUAGGCCUAACACAUGCAAGUCGAACGGCAGCACAGUAAGAGCUUGCUCUUACGGGUGGCGAGUGGCGGACGGGUGAGGAAUACAUCGGAAUCUACUUUUUCGUGGGGGAUAACGUAGGGAAACUUACGCUAAUACCGCAUACGACCUACGGGUGAAAGCAGGGGAUCUUCGCACCUUGCGCGAUUGAAUGAGCCGAUGUCGGAUUAGCUAGUUGGCUGGGUAAAGGCCCACCAAGGCGACGAUCCGUAGCUGGUCUGAGAGGAUGAUCGGCCACACUGGAACUGAGACACGGUCCAGACUCCUACGGGAGGCAGCAGUGGGGAAUCUUGGACAAUGGGCGCAAGCCUGAUCCAGCCAUACCGCGUGGGUGAAGAAGGCCUUCGGGUUGUAAAGCCCUUUUGUUGGGAAAGAAAAGCAGCAGGUUAAUACCCCGAUGUUCUGACGGUACCCAAAGAAUAAGCACCGGCUAACUUCGUG